GAGCGAACGGGGAGGAGCCCAGAGCCUGAAUCAGUGUGUGUGUUAGUGGAAGCGUCUGGAAAGGCGCGCGAUACAGGGUGACAGCCCCGUACACAAAAAUGCACAUGCUGUGAGCUCGAUGAGUAGGGCGGGACACGUGGUAUCCUGUCUGAAUAUGGGGGGACCAUCCUCCAAGGCUAAAUACUCCUGACUGACCGAUAGUGAACCAGUACCGUGAGGGAAAGGCGAAAAGAACCCCGGCGAGGGGAGUGAAAAAGAACCUGAAACCGUGUACGUACAAGCAGUGGGAGCACGCUUAGGCGUGUGACUGCGUACCUUUUGUAUAAUGGGUCAGCGACUUAUAUUCUGUAGCAAGGUUAACCGAAUAGGGGAGCCGAAGGGAAACCGAGUCUUAACUGGGCGUUAAGUUGCAGGGUAUAGACCCGAAACCCGGUGAUCUAGCCAUGGGCAGGUUGAAGGUUGGGUAACACUAACUGGAGGACCGAACCGACUAAUGUUGAAAAAUUAGCGGAUGACUUGUGGCUGGGGGUGAAAGGCCAAUCAAACCGGGAGAUAGCUGGUUCUCCCCGAAAGCUAUUUAGGUAGCGCCUCGUGAAUUCAUCUCCGGGGGUAGAGCACUGUUUCGGCAAGGGGGUCAUCCCGACUUACCAACCCGAUGCAAACUGCGAAUACCGGAGAAUGUUAUCACGGGAGACACACGGCGGGUGCUAACGUCCGUCGUGAAGAGGGAAACAACCCAGACCGCCAGCUAAGGUCCCAAAGUCAUGGUUAAGUGGGAAACGAUGUGGGAAGGCCCAGACAGCCAGGAUGUUGGCUUAGAAGCAGCCAUCAUUUAAAGAAAGCGUAAUAGCUCACUGGUCGAGUCGGCCUGCGCGGAAGAUGUAACGGGGCUAAACCAUGCACCGAAGCUGCGGCAGCGACGCUUAUGCGUUGUUGGGUA
rnacentral:rRNA from 1 species